rnacentral:tRNA from 1 species
GGAGGGCUGACCGAGAGGACGAAGGUAGCGGUCUUGAAAACCGUAGGGGUGAAAGCCUCCGUGGGUUCAAAUCCCACGCCCUCCUCCA